UUUACACAUGCAAGUCGAACGGAAUUUAGAAGCUUGCUUUUAAAUUUAGUGGCGAACGGGUGAGUAAUAUAUCGGAACGUAUCCAAUAAUGGGGGAUAACUAAUCGAAAGGUUGGCUAAUACCGCAUACGCCCUACGGGGGAAAGCUAGGGACCUUCGGGCCUGGCGUUAAUGGAGCGGCCGAUAUCAGAUUAGCUAGUUGGUGAGGUAAAGGCUCACCAAGGCGACGAUCUGUAGCUGGUCUGAGAGGACGACCAGCCACACUGGAACUGAGACACGGUCCAGACUCCUACGGGAGGCAGCAGUGGGGAAUUUUGGACAAUGGGCGAAAGCCUGAUCCAGCCAUUCCGCGUGAGUGAAGAAGGCCUUCGGGUUGUAAAGCUCUUUCGCAAGGGAAGAACACUUAGUUACUAAUAUUAACUGAGGUUGACGGUACCUUGAUAAGAAGCACCGGCUAACUACGUGCCAGCAGCCGCGGUAAUACGUAGGGUGCGAGCGUUAAUCGGAAUUACUGGGCGUAAAGCGUGCGCAGGCUGUUUUGUAAGUCAGAUGUGAAAUCCCUGAGCUCAACUUAGGAACUGCGUUUGAAACUACAAGACUAGAAUAUGUCAGAGGGGGGUAGAAUUCCACGUGUAGCAGUGAAAUGCGUAGAGAUGUGGAGGAAUACCAAUGGCGAAGGCAGCCCCCUGGGAUAAUAUUGACGCUCAUGCACGAAAGCGUGGGGAGCAAACAGGAUUA
rnacentral:rRNA from 1 species